AGUGAACGCUGGCGGUAGGCCUAACACAUGCAAGUCGAACGGCAGCACAGUAAGAGCUUGCUCUUACGGGUGGCGAGUGGCGGACGGGUGAGGAAUACAUCGGAAUCUACUUUUUCGUGGGGGAUAACGUAGGGAAACUUACGCUAAUACCGCAUACGACCUACGGGUGAAAGCAGGGGAUCUUCGGACCUUGCGCGAUUGAAUGAGCCGAUGUCGGAUUAGCUAGUUGGCGGGGUAAAGGCCCACCAAGGCGACGAUCCGUAGCUGGUCUGAGAGGAUGCUCCGCCACACUGGAACUGAGACACGGUCCAGACUCCGAGGGGAGGGAGCAGUGGGGAAUAUUGGAAAGGGGGCGCAAGCCUGACCCACCCACACCGCGUGGGUGAAGAAGCCCGUGGGUUUGAAACGCCUUUGUGUUGGAAAAGAAAAGCAGCAGGUUAACACCCCGCUGUUCUGACGGUACCAAAAGAAUAAGCACCGGCUAACUU
rnacentral:rRNA from 1 species